UAUUCCCCUCCAAAACGUGAGCUGGGUUUAGAGCAUCAUGAGACAGGU
rnacentral:rRNA from 12 species